rnacentral:tRNA from 2 species
CGGGAUGUGGCGCAGUUGGUAGCGCGCACCGCUGGGGGUGGUGAGGCCGCUGGUUCAAGUCCAGUCAUCCCGACCA